rnacentral:rRNA from 1 species
AUUGAACGCUGGCGGCAUGCCUUACACAUGCAAGUCGAACGGUAACAGGUUAAGCUGACGAGUGGCGAACGGGUGAGUAAAGCAUCGGAACGUGCCCAGUCGUGGGGGAUAACGUAGAGAAAUUUACGCUAAUACCGCAUACGAUCUGAGGAUGAAAGCAGGGGACCUUCGGGCCUCGCGCGAUUGGAGCGGCCGAUGUCAGAUUAGCUAGUUGGCGGGGUAAAGGCCCACCAAGGCGACGAUCGGUAGCUGGUCUGAGAGGACGACCAGUCACACUGGGACUGAGACACGGCCCAGACUCCUACGGGAGGCAGCAGUGGGGAAUUUUGGACAAUGGGGGAAACCCUGAUCCAGCCAUGCCGCGUGCAGGAUGAAGGCCUUCGGGUUGUAAACUGCUUUUGUACGGAACGAAAAGGUCUGCCUUAAUACGGUGGGCUCAUGACGGUACCGUAAGAAUAAGCACCGGCUAACUACGUGCCAGCAGCCGCCGUAAUAC